AUUGAACGCUGGCGGCAGGCCUAACACAUGCAAGUCGAGCGGAGCGGCGGACGGGUGAGUAAUGACUAGGAAUCUGACUGGUAGUGGGGGAUAACGUCCGGAAACGGGCGCUAAUACCGCAUACUAUCAGAUGAGCCCCGAUGGGAUUAGCUAGUAGGUGGGGUAAUGGCUCACCUAGGCGACGAUCCCUAGCUGGUCUGAGAGGAGGACCAGCCACAGUGGAACUGAGACCCGGUCCAGACUCCUACGGGAGGCAGCAGUGGGGAAUAUUGCACAAUGGGCGCAAGCCGGAUGCAGCCAUGCGGCGUGUAGGAAGAAGGCCUUCGGGUUGGAAAGUACUUUCAGCGGUGAGGCGUUACCCGCAGAAGAAGCACCGGCUAACUCCGUGCCAGCAGCCGCGGUAAUAC
rnacentral:rRNA from 1 species